GAUGAACGCUGGCGGCGUGCCUAAUACAUGCAAGUCGAGCGAACGGACGAGAAGCUUGCUUCUCUGAUGUUAGCGGCGGACGGGUGUGUAACACGUGGAUAACCUACCUAUAAGACUGGGAUAACUUCGGGAAAGCGGAGCUAAUACCGGAUAAUAUUUUGAACCGCAUGGUUCAAAAGUGAAAGACGGUCUUGCUGUCACUUAUAGAUGGAUCUGCGCUGCAUUAGCUAGUUGGUAAGGUCACGGCUUACCAAGGUAACGAUGCAUAGCCGACCUGAGAGAGGGAUAGGCCAAACUGGAGCUGAGACACGGUCCAGACUCCUACGGGAGGCAGCAGUAGGGAAUCUUCCGCAAUGGGCGAAAACCUGACGGAGCAACGCCGCGUGAGUGAUGAAGAUCUUCGGAUCGUAAAGCUCUGUUAUUAGGGAAAAACAGAUGUGUAAGUAACUGUACACAGCUUGACGGUACCUAAUCAAGAAGCCACGGCUAACUACGUG
rnacentral:rRNA from 1 species